rnacentral:rRNA from 1 species
AUUGAACGCUGGCGGCAUGCCUUACACAUGCAAGUCGAACGGUAACGCGGGGCAACCUGGCGACGAGUGGCGAACGGGUGAGUAAUGUAUCGGAACGUGCCCAGUUGUGGGGGAUAACUGCUCGAAAGAGCAGCUAAUACCGCAUACGACCUGAGGGUGAAAGCGGGGGAUCGCAAGACCUCGCGCAGUUGGAGCGGCCGAUAUCAGAUUAGGUAGUUGGUGGGGUAAAGGCUCACCAAGCCAACGAUCUGUAGCUGGUCUGAGAGGACGACCAGCCAGACUGGAACUGAGACACGGCCCAGACUCCUACGGGAGGCAGCAGUGGGGAAUUUUUGACAAUGGGCGCAAGCCUGAUCCAGCCAUGCCGCGUGCGGGAAGAAGGCCUUCGGGUUGUAAACCGCUUUUGUCAGGGAAGAAAAGACUCCUGUUGAUACCGGGGGUUCAUGACGGUACCUGAAGAAUAAGCACCGGCUAACUACGUGCCAGCAGCCGCCGUAA